CCUACGGGAGGCAGCAGUGAGGAAUAUUGGUCAAUGGACGCAAGUCUGAACCAGCCAUGCCGCGUGCAGGAAGACGGCUCUAUGAGUUGUAAACUGCUUUUGUACGAGGGUAAACGCAGAUACGCGUCUCUGUCUGAAAGUACCGUACGAAUAAGGAUCGGCUAGCUCCGUGCCAGCAGCCGCGGUAAUACGGAGGAUUCAAGCGUUAUCCGGAUUUAUUGGGUUUAAAGGGUGCGUAGGCGGUCGGAUAAGUUAGCGGUGAAAUCCCGAGGCUCAACUUCGGAAUUGCCUCUGAUACUGGUAGGCUAGAGAGUAGUUGCGGUAGGCGGAAUGUAUGGUGUAGCGGUGAAAUGCUUAGAGAUCAUACAGAACACCGAUUGCGAAGGCAGCUUACCAAGCUACUUCUGACGUUGAGGCACGAAAGCGUGGGGAGCAAACAGGAUUAGAUACCCUUGUAGUC
rnacentral:rRNA from 1 species